rnacentral:rRNA from 1 species
UACAGAGGGUGCGAGCGUUGUCCGGAAUCACUGGGCGUAAAGGGCGCGUAGGUGGCAGGGUAAGCGUGCGGUGAAAGCCCGGAGCUCAACUCCGGGUCGGCCGUGCGAACUGCUCUGCUCUAGCACUGUAGAGGCAGGUGGAAUUCCGGGUGUAGCGGUGGAAUGCGCAGAUAUCAGGAGGAACACCGAUGGCGAAGGCAGCUCGCUGGGACGGUACUGACGCUGAGGCGCGAAAGCGUGGGGAGCAAACAGG